UACGGAGGAGGCAAGCGUUAUCCGGAAUUAUUGGGCGUAAAGCGUCCGCAGGUGGUUAAUCAAGUCUGCUGUCAAAGCGCGAGGCUCAACUUCGUAAAGGCAGUGGAAACUGAUUGACUUGAGUUUGGUAGGGGUAGAGGGAAUUCCCAGUGUAGCGGUGAAAUUCGUAGAUAUUCGCAAGAACACCAGUGGCGAAGGCGGCUCACUGGCCCGAUACUGACGCUGAGGCACGAAAGCGUGGGGAGCAAACAGG
rnacentral:rRNA from 1 species